rnacentral:rRNA from 1 species
GUUGGAAACAGUGGCUAAGACUGGAUAGGAAGAUAAAAGGCAUCUUUUAUCUUUUAAAAGACCUAGUAAUAGGUAUGCUUUAGGAGGGGCUUGCGCCAUAUUAGUUAGUUGGUAGGGUAAUGGCCUACCAAGACGAUGAUGUGUAGCUGGACUGAGAGGUUGAACAGCCACAUUGGGACUGAGACACGGCCCAAACUCCUACGGGAGGCAGCAGUAGGGAAUUUUCGGCAAUGGAGGAAACUCUGACCGAGCAACGCCGCGUGAAUGACGAAGUACUUCGGUAUGUAAAGUUCUUUUAUCAAGGAAGAAAAGCAAAUGGCGAACCAUUUGUUUGCCGGUACUUGAUGAAUAAGCCCCGGCUAAUUAUGUGCCAGCAGCCGCGGUAAGACAUAAGGGGCAAGUGUUAUCCGGAAUUAUUGGGCGUAAAGGGUGCGUAGGCGGUCUAGUAAGUCAGUGGUGUAAUGGCAACGCUUAACGUUGUCCGGCUAUUGAAACUGCUAAACUUGAGUUAGAUAGAGGCGAGUGGAAUUCCAUGUGUAGCGGUAAAAUGCGUAAAUAUAUGGAGGAACACCAGAGGCGUAGGCGGCUCGCUGGGUCUUAACUGACGCUGAGGCACGAAAGCGUGGGGAGCAAACAGGAUUAGAUACCCUGGUAGUCCACGCCGUAAACGAUGAGUACUAAGUGUCGGGUUAAACCGGUACUGAAGUUAACACAUUAAGUACUCCGCCUGAGUAGUACGUACGCAAGUAUGAAACUUAAAGGAAUUGACGGGACUCCGCACAAGCGGUGGAUCAUGUUGUUUAAUUCGAAGAUACCCGAAAAACCUUACCAGGUCUUGACAUGUUUUUGCAAAAUGAUAGUAAUAUCGUGGAGGUUACCAGAAACACAGGUGGUGCAUGGUUGUCGUCAGCUCGUGUCGUGAGAUGUUAGGUUAAGUCCUAAAACGAGCGAAACCCUUAUCGUUAGUUGCCAGCACGUUAUGGUGGGGACUUUAACGAGACUGCCAAUGAUAAAUUGGAGGAAGGUGAGGAUCACGUCAAAUCAGCAUGCCCCUUAUGACCUGGGCUACAAACGUGAUACAAUGGCUGUUACAAAGGGUAGCUGAAACGCAAGUUCUUGGCCAAUCCCCAAAAACAGUCCCAGUCCGGAUUGAAGUCUGCAACUCGACUUCAUGAAGUUGGAAUCGCUAGUAAUCGCGAAUCAGCAUGUCGCGGUGAAUACGUUCUCGGGGUUUGUACACACCGCCCGUCAAACCACGAAA